UUGAACGCUGGCGGAAUGCUUUACACAUGCAAGUCGAACGGCAGCACGGGGGCAACCCUGGUGGCGAGUGGCGAACGGGUGAGUAAUACAUCGGAACGUGCCCAGUCGUGGGGGAUAACGUAGCGAAAGCUACGCUAAUACCGCAUACGAUCUCUGGAUGAAAGCGGGGGACCGCAAGGCCUCGCGCGAUUGGAGCGGCCGAUGGCAGAUUAGGUAGUUGGUGGGGUAAAGGCUCACCAAGCCGACGAUCUGUAGCUGGUCUGAGAGGACGACCAGCCACACUGGGACUGAGACACGGCCCAGACUCCUACGGGAGGCAGCAGUGGGGAAUUUUGGACAAUGGGCGAAAGCCUGAUCCAGCCAUUCCGCGUGCAGGAUGAAGGCCCUCGGGUUGUAAACUGCUUUUGUACGGAACGAAACGCGUUGAGCUAAUACCUUGACGUAAUGACGGUACCGUAAGAAUAAGCACCGGCUAACUACGU
rnacentral:rRNA from 1 species